rnacentral:rRNA from 1 species
UGAAGCUGGAAUCGCUAGUAAUCGCGAAUCAGAAUGUCGCGGUGAAUACGUUCCCAGGUCUUGUACACACCGCCCGUCACACCAUGGGAGUCAGUAACGCCCGAAGCCGGUGACCCAACCAAACCUGGAGGGAGCCGUCGAAGGCGGGACGGAUGACUGGGGUGAAGUCGUAACAAGGUACC